rnacentral:lncRNA from 1 species
UGGUGCAGUAGGAUGCAAAAUUUCCACUUGUUUAUAAGUGUAUCGCCGAGAAAUGUAUAAAAUAAUCGAGACCGGCGGAGGCAGGUCAGAGCCGUCUGGAAUGCGCGCACCUUCAACGAACAAUGCCAACAUUGAAGUCCUCGGUUGGAGUCUGCACAGUUGGAGAUCUUUGGUGCCAUUUUAGACAUCUUUGGAUUUCAUCAAUCAAACUGACUGCAAUUUUCCAUAAAAACCCUGAAUUUGGGUCAGAAAGUGGGCAAAGUAGAUAAAGAUCAUUCGAGCUGUCUUAUAAGAUGAUAAAUAGAUAUCCUUUCAGGCCAACAAUGCCAAAGUGCAGUUUUGUGAUUCCCUUCCAUGGGUUCUGAAUGCAGUGAGUCGAAACGAUUUCUACAUGUUUUCCCAUGGUUUAGGAGGUGUCUUUACAUACUUGUCAAUAGUAGCCUGACCUUUUUCCCCAUGGAGUUGCUAAGUGUGUUUUGUUUGUUGCUUUGAGUACUUUUUUCUUGUUGUUUGUGUGUGUGUUGCACAAAAUACACAAGAAAAUAAAGGUUUUUU